rnacentral:rRNA from 1 species
CAGCCGCCGCGGGAAUGCGUAAGGUGCAAGCGUUGUCCGGAAUCAUUGGGCGUAAAGCGCGCGUAGGUGGCCAUUUAAGUCCGCUGUGAAAGUCAAAGGCUCAACCUUUGAAAGCCGGUGGAUACUGGAUAGCUAGAGUACGGAAGAGGCGAGUGGAAUUCCUGGUGUAGCGGUGGAAUGCGCAGAUAUCAGGAGGAACACCAAUAGCGAAGGCAAUCACCUGGACCUGUACUGACGCUCAUGCACGAAAGCGUGGGGGGCAAACAGGAUUAGAUACCCGCGUAGUCCCUGUCUCUUAUAC